UACGAAGGGGGCUAGCGUUGCUCGGAAUUACUGGGCGUAAAGCGCACGUAGGCGGUCUUUUAAGUCGGGGGUGAAAUCCUGGAGCUCAAUUCCAGAACUGCCUUCGAUACUGGAAGACUUGAGUCCGGGAGAGGUGAGUGGAAUUCCCAGUGUAGAGGUGAAAUUCGUAGAUAUUGGGAAGAACACCGGUGGCGAAGGCGGCUCACUGGCUCGUAACUGACGCUCAGGCGCGACAGCGUGGGGAUCAAACAGG
rnacentral:rRNA from 1 species